CUAGGUGUUCCGGGCUGGACAGUCCUAGGUGUUCCGGGCUGGACAGUCCUAGGUGUUCCGGGCUGGACAGUCCUAGGUGUGCAGGACUGGGCAGUCCUAGGUGUGCAGGACUGGGCCGUCCUAGGUGUGCAGGACUGGGCCGUCCUAGGUGUGCAGGACUGGGCCGUCCUAGGUGUGCAGGACUGGGCCGUCCUAGGUGUGCUGCAGGUAUUCUGGGUUGGGUAGUCCUAGAAGUUGUAUCCCAAGCUUAUUGUGUCCCUCUUUGGGGCAACAGUCCUAGGCAUGCUCUGUGUCAUCUUGGCAGUAGUCCCCUACUGUAGGUGUGAUGUGAGUAGUGUCGGCAUUCCUAGGGGGUAGUCUACCAUUGACAGUCCUAUGUAUGUACGAUGAGGUCUGUGCAGGGGAAGCUGUGUCAGUGGGACUAGAUGAAGAGGGUAGCCUGGUGCCA
ensembl:lncRNA